rnacentral:lncRNA from 1 species
AAUAAUUUUUUUCUUCAUUUACAGUGGGGAGCUUUGGAUUUAACUAUGGAAACAUUGUCGCCUAGGAGUAGCACAUUACACACCACACAUGCUUUAUUCGAAAAAGAGCCUCUUCAUAGCAUCUUCAUGCUUCCUGGGAAAAGCAACUUCUUGUAGCUUUCUUUUAUUUCUACAAUGGUAGACUCCAGCUCCCCUUCAGAAAAAAAAAAAAAAAAAGUAAUAAGCUAUCAAAAAGUCACCUUAUGUAAAUAUUUUUUUCCUGAUUAAAAGAAAGCAAAACUAAAAUAAAAGAAGGUGAAUAAAUUACAGAAUAUCUAAACUUUCUUUUUAUAAUUCAUUUGAAAACAAACUUUCAUGUAUGAGAAAAUGAAAAAAUGGUGGCGCAGUAAAGAAUUUUCAGAUCUACUCAAAACACCUAGAACCAAAAAUGGUGUGUAGAUGUGAGUAUUUGUGAUCGAAACCAGAAAAAGAGAGAGAUAACAGAAGAUGCAUAAGGAGUAAUAAAGAAGAGAAGAAAACCCAUGAAUUAACCCUUAUGAGCUUCUUAAAUGUUCACUGAACCCCAAAUAAUCCCCAAAUAAGUUCCAAAUAACAAAAUUCAAAGAUGUUUAUAGAUCUUCACCCCUUUAAGAAGAGCAUCCAAGGAUUAUUUAAAAAAAUUAGAAAACAAAAUGCAUCAUGUUUACUAUAUUUAUGAAAAAACACAUAAAAUCAAAAGGUUUAAGCAGAAAAUGAAGCAACAACACCUUUAUUUUCAAGAAUUCCAAACCUUUAAACAUGAAAAUGAAGCAAGCAAACCUUAUAAUCCAAAAGGUUGAUGUAGACUCUGACCUUUGAAAACAUAAUUUCUUAAUAUAACCUGUUUUUAGACGUAAUGAUUAGUCAGAACCCCAAAAAAUUGAAAUCUAUCAAACAUAAAAAUAGAAAUGCAGCAAGAAAGAAUAGUAGGAGGUGAUUUUGAUAUCUUUUACCAUGUGGAGGUUGUCGCACUGAUAAAGAAGUCAGAAACACACAGGAGGUCAAAGGAUGUUUCAGAUAACCAAAUCGUAAAGAACAACAACCCAUUGGGAAAAUAAGCCAUUGCUUUAUCCAUGAAAUGUGAAAUCAAAUAAGUUUGGUCUUGUUAUUGAAAACACACAGAGAUAAAGAGAGAUAAAAAGAGUAGUAAGGGGUGUUUUACCUAUUUUUAGUCGAGAUAGAGUAGCAAAGGGUCCAUCAGUACGUUGGUGGUUUCGGUGGUAGCAGGGGUAAACGGUGGUAGUGUGUUAGGGUUUUCUGACUGAGAGAGGAGGAAAAUCUGCCUUGUAGAAGAGAAACAGGAAAUGAUAUCAACAUAGGAGAGAAUGAAAAAUAUAAGGGGAGGUUAGGGGAUUUAGUUAACUUUCACCGAUAAGAUUCGAUUGUAUAUGAUGUUUUA